GCUGGGGUGGCUCAGGGCUAGAAUUCUUGCCUUCCGUGUGAGAGACCCAGGUUCAAUUCCUGGCCAGCG
rnacentral:tRNA from 1 species